AUCACAAGGUCAUCCUAAGUGUUCACCUCACUUGAAAUUUUCCUUUUGUGGGAAUAAGUGAAAGAAAAUAACCUGAAUUGGAUGCAGAAGGGCUUUUGAAGAAAGAAGUUAUCUUAAAAUGAAGAGUGAAGGAUAAAACAAUGAAGCUUUUGUUCUGGCCAAAUCUGAGACAGGAGGGCAGAGCAAGAUGGCAGAAUAGAAGCCUAUGUCAUGUGUGCCCUCUGCAGGAAUACCACAUUUUAACAACUAUCUGCACACAGAAAAGCACCGUGAUAAGAAUCAAACAUCAGCCAAAGGCCCUAUGAUGUGGGAAGUGUUGCGAGAAGUCAGGGACCCUGAACGGAGGGACCUGCUGGAGCCGUGGCAGAGGAACAUAAGUUGUGAAGAUUUCAUUUUAAUAUGGACAUUUUCCAGUUCCUAAAUAAUACUUUUAUAAUUUCUUAUGCCUGUCUUUAAUCUCUUAAUCCUGUUAUCUUUGUAAGCUGAGGAUGUACAUCACCUCAGGACCACUGUGAUAAUUGUGUUAACUAUACAAAUUAUUGUAAAACAUAUGUGUUUGGACAAUAUGAAAUCAGUGCACCUUGAAAAAGGAAAGAAUAACAGUGAUUUUUAGGGAACAAGGGAAGGCAACCAUAAGGUCUGACUGCCUGCGGGGUCCGGCAAAAAGAGCCAUAUUUUUCUUCUUGCAGAGAGCCUAUAAACAGAUGUGCAAGUAGGAGAGAUAUCGCUAAAUUCUUUUCCUAGGAAGAAAUAUUAAUAUUAAUACCCUGGGAAAGGAAUGCAUUCCUGGGGGGAGGUCUAUAAAUGGCCACUCUGGGAGCGUCUGUCUUAUGUGGUUGAGAUAAGGACUGAGAUACGCCCUGGUCUCCUGCAGUACCCUCAGGUUUACUAGGGUAGAGAAAAACUCUGCCCUGGUAAAUUUGUGAUCAGACUGGUUCUCUGCUCUUGAACCCUGUUUUCUGUUGUUUAAGAUGUUUAUCAAGACAAUAUGCGCACCACUGAACAUAGACCCUUAUCAAUAGUUCUGCUUUUGCCCUUUGCCUUGUGAUCUUUGUUGGACCCUUAUAGGUAGUUCUGCUUUUUGCCCUUUGAAGCAUGUGAUCUUUGUACCUACUCCCUGUUUUACACCCCCUCCCCUUUUGAAACCCUUAAUAAAAAACUUGCUGGUUUGAGGCUCAGGUGGGCAUCAUGGUCCUACUGAUAUGUGAUGUCACCCCC
rnacentral:lncRNA from 10 species